GACGAACGCUGGCGGCGUGCUUAAUACAUGCGAGUCGAACGGUGAACCUCUGCGGAUGGGCUCAGUGGCGAACGGGCGAGUAACACGUGGGCAACCUGCCCCCGUCCCUGGGAUAACUGCAAGACAUUGGGGCUAAGACCGUAUGUUCACCGCUUCUCGCAUGGGGGGUGGUUGAAUGGUUUUCCCGCUGGGGCUUGGCGCGCGGCCUAGCAGCUGGUUGGUGAGGUAGAGGCCGCCCAGGGGCACGAGGGAUAGCCGGCCUGGGAGCGUGGACGGCCACACUGGGACUGAGGCACGGCGCAGUCUCGUAUGGGCGGCAGCAGUCGGGAAUCUUACGCAACGGGCGGACGCCUGACGCAGCGACCCCGGGUGCGGAAUGCCGGCCUUCGGGUUGUAAACAUCUUUCAGCAGGGACGAAGCGCAAGUGACGGUACCUGCAGAAGAAGCACCGGCCAACUACGUG
rnacentral:rRNA from 1 species